rnacentral:lncRNA from 1 species
CAGCUUCAAUACGUUGUUCUUGUUUAUUCCUUUUCAUUAUUGUACAACUUUUAUGACAUAAGGAAUGAAAUCCUUUUCUGUUUUUGCUCGGCACAAAUGGGUCAGUGGCACCCUGUUUUUAAUUUAUUUUUCUGAAAGUACGAGGUAAACUCAGCCGCUUCUAAGAAUUUUGCUAUAUUUUUUAUAACCUAAAUUGACAAAAAAAACCUUGUUUUCCUACAUCUAAAAAAUAGAAAGAAAAAAGGUCAGAGAAAUAUUUUUGGCGGGCUCUGUAAAUGUAACCAGGUGGAGAAAAUGGUGUUUGCUGACUUCAUCUUUGGAUAAAGCUUGUCAAUUCAUAACGCUUCUGACCGGUCUGUUUUUUAUAAGCUUUUUCUCCCACUAGAAAUGAUUUUUUGAACUUUUUAAGAAACCUCAGAUCAUUCUUUGCAGCAACUUAUCUGAAUCUUUAUCUGUAAAACCAAGGUAGUUGAUUUUUUUUUUUUUUUUAAAAAAAAAAAAAAGAAUGCAUUAAUUAUCAAUUAUAAUAGUAAAUAAAAUGCAAAACACUUAUCAUCAUUAUUAUUACUUUUUUUCAGAUGAAGGAAACCGUAUUUGUGAUGAAGAUCCUAUGUCUCAGAAACGUUCAAACAGUAAGAAAGAUGCAGUACAUACUGUACAGAGAGAAAAACGAUCUAAACCGAAACAACAGUCACAUGUCCUCCCACCGAGUCCGUUAAAUCUGAACCAGAGAUGUUCAUCAAAUCUUGAAAAUUCUACGCCGAAGGAAGAUGUUAAUUGUGGACCUGAUGUCUCAGAAGAAAAUGUUUCUUCGAAUUCUAGAAUUCCUUUGCAAGAAGGGAGCUCUAAUGAUGGUACUUCAUCCAGUAACUCCACAGCGAAGUGCCGAGUUCCUCAAUUCAAAGCCUAUUGGGAUAAAUUGGAUGACAAGGAGCAACUUUAUUUCAUUGGUGAAUCAUUGUUCUUGCUUACCAAAAGGGCUGGAAAAGCAGGCACCCUAACAGGAGAUGAAGUCAUUCGACCCACUGAAAUAACGAAAAUGUUCCCUCUGAAUAAUGUCGAAAAGCUCAAUGAAGUCCAUGAGGCCAUGGAUAAACAAAAAGGUUUUAAAAAAAAAGUGGUUGUUGAGCUGCUAAGAAAAGUUGUUAAAGACGAUCUACCGGAAACAGCACGAGGAAUGGCCAGGUUCUUGUAUACUGAUGAGUUCGCCUGCAAUUACUCAUUGUACGGUUUCAAAAACAAACAAAAUUUUUCAUCCCUCAAACUCACCCAACUACUGUUCACGGCUCUAGAUGGUGCGUUUAAUGACAAGCUCAUUAAAUACACUGAUGACGAGAUAAACAAAAGCAUAAUGGCCUGGCUGAAUUACAGCCAACAAAGAAUUAAGAGGGUAAGGGAGCUCAUCACUAUUCCUUUUUGUCAAGUUGUUAGGAUUCUUCUCGUCACCAUUAUAACUGUGUCCUUCAGAUGGAGAGGAUACAAGUGAAAGAAUUCAGGGAAGAUGGCUGAGAGAGAAGACAUCCAAGGUCAUUUAAGCGAUAAAAUUUGCUGAAUCAUAAUCUUCAGUUUCAGCUUAAAUUUAAAAACUGUAUGCCUCCCUCUCUUCUUUCAUGAAUACAUGUUGCAAGUUGCAACACCACCAGUUAAAAGGAUUACUCAUGGUGGUCAUUUCUCCUGUAAAACCACACUCUUAAUUUGAAUCUAAGAACCAUAAAAUGUCUAAUUCCCACAAGCUGUACAGUCAGAUCAUUAAAUUCGUAAAAUUUUUUAAAAUUAAAAUAAUUUCUCUCGUGAACUUCUCUGUUUCAAAAAAAAAUCCGAAGGUGAGGAAGGUUAAGUUAUUAAACUAAUAAGCCUCAAAAUUGAAAGGCUGAUGAGAAAAAAAACAUUUUCAGGCCCAGCAGGUUGUAAGCAUGCAUUUUUGUCUGCUUUGCUUUUCAACCCUAAAUUUUUCUUAAUAAAAGCUGUAUUGAAAGCUCAGCUUGUUCAUCUCUCUUGAUGCACAAAAUUGAAAUCGUCACGAGGUUCGAAAGAUGGGUAUUGCCGAACGAAGUGUUACUAAAAAAUAUUUUCUGUUUGACCGUAUUAUCAUACCCACCGUCUCAUAUAAUAUCCUCUAAUUUAUGUUUUAUCUGUUUUCAACAGAAGGAAGAUGCUAAGGAAGAAGCAGAAGGAAAAGAAUCGAUUGAAACAAACGGGCGUACGUUUAGAGCUGUCACACUCAGAGGAUGAGCUGGUGCUCCCGAAUUCUGUUUAAUCAAUUUUAAUCUUCCUUUUUUAUUUUGUAUGGUUACACUUACUUGUUUACCUUAUUUGUAUUUCAAUUAUUUAUAUUUCAUUUUUGUAUUUUUUGGACAAAAAA